rnacentral:rRNA from 1 species
AGGGGGCAACCGUUAUCCGGAUUUACUGGGGGAAAAGGGAGCGUAGGUGGCAUGGCAAGCCAGAAGUGAAAACCCGGGGCUUAACUCCGUGGAUUGCUUUUGGAACUGUCAGGCUGGAGUGCAGGAGGGGCAGGCGGAAUUCCUGGUGUAGCGGUGAAAUGCGUAGAUAUCAGGAGGAACACCGGUGGCGAAGGCGGCCUGCUGGACUGUAACUGACACUGAGGCUCUAAAGCGUGGGGAGCAA